AACGAACGCUGGCGGCAGGCCUAACACAUGCAAGUCGAACGCGUCCUGGACGAGUGGCAGACGGGUGAGUAACGCGUGGGAACGUACCCUUUGGUUCGGAACAACUCCGGGAAACUGGAGCUAAUACCGGGAUAAGCCCUUCGGGGAAAGGAUUAUCGCCAGAGGAUCGGCCCGCGUUAGAUUAGCUGUUGGUGAGGUAAUGGCUCACCAAGGCUACGAUCUAUAGCUGGUCUGAAGAGGAUGAUCAGCCACACUGGGACUGAGACACGGCCCAGACUCUUACGGGAGGCAGCAGUGGGGGAAUCUUGGACAAUGGGCGGAAAGCCUGAUCCAGCCAUGCCGCGUG
rnacentral:rRNA from 1 species